AAUCACCACCAUUCGACCCUGGGCAGAACAUGGCUUAUGUCAAUCAGCGAACAGGUGAAAUUAUUAUAGUUCCUGAAAACCAAUCCGAACUCGUCACAGUGAAGGAAGACAAUGGAUGUUUACCCGAUACAGAUGAAUGGCAAUGGUAUGAUUGGAUGUUGGCUAUUCUAGUUGGAAUAAUUAUCGUUCCUUUACUUGUUGCUUGUUGCAUAUUUUUCGGAAUUUGUAUAUACUGGGUACCAGAGAAAGAUUAGACUGAGAAUAACUAUUUGAUCCAGCACAGAGUUUACAUGAAAUAGACAAAUAAUUCAUAAACAUGGAAGACUCAUUAAUAUAUAUAUUUU